rnacentral:rRNA from 1 species
UACGAGGGGGGCAAAUGUUGUUCGGAAUCACUGGGCGUAAAGCGUGCGCAGGCGGCUAUGCAAGACAGAUGUGAAAUCCCCGGGCUCAACCUGGGGAACUGCAUUUGUGGACUGCAUGGCUAGAGUACGGUAGAGGGGGAUGGAAUUCCGCGUGUAGCAGUGAAAUGCGUAGAUAUGCGGAGGAACACCGAUGGCGAAGGCAAUCCCCUGGGCUGACACUGACGCUCAGGCACGAAAGCGUGGGGAGCAAACAGG